rnacentral:rRNA from 1 species
AUUGAACGCUGGCGGCAUGCCUUACACAUGCAAGUCGAACGGUAACAGGCCUUCGGGUGCUGACGAGUGGCGAACGGGUGAGUAAUGCAUCGGAACGUGCCCAGAGGUGGGGGAUAACGCAGCGAAAGCUGUGCUAAUACCGCAUGUGAUCUGAGGAUGAAAGCGGGGGACCAAGCAGCAAUGUUUGGCCUCGCGCCUCUGGAGCGGCCGAUGUCAGAUUAGGUAGUUGGUGGGGUAAAGGCCUACCAAGCCGACGAUCUGUAGCUGGUCUGAGAGGACGACCAGCCACACUGGGACUGAGACACGGCCCAGACUCCUACAGGAGGCAGCAGUGGGGAAUUUUGGACAAUGGGCGCAAGCCUGAUCCAGCAAUGCCGCGUGCGGGAAGAAGGCCUUCGGGUUGUAAACCGCUUUUGUACGGAACGAAAAGGCUCUGGCUAAUACCUGGGGCUGAUGACGGUACCGUAAGAAUAAGCACCGGCUAACUACGUG